rnacentral:rRNA from 1 species
UACGUAGGGGGCAAGCGUUGUCCGGAAUCAUUGGGCGUAAAGAGCGUGUAGGCGGCUCGGUAAGUCCGCUGUAAAAGUCAAAGGCUCAACCUUUGAAUGUCAGUGGAUACUGCCGGGCUAGAGUCCGGAAGAGGCGAGUGGAACUCCUGGUGUAGCGGUGGAAUGCGCAGAUAUCAGGAAGAACACCAACGGCGAAGGCAGCUCGCUGGCCCGAUACUGACGCUGAGGCACGAAAGCGUGGGGAGCAAACAGG